AAUAAUAUAUAUGUAUAAACACUCACUCACAACCUUGAGUGUAGAUUAGUGGGGAUCACCAUGACUUGAACAAGGUAUUACACCUUUGUCCAAAAGCUUAUUUCCCCCUAUCUCUAAGCACUAAGGGAACUCUCUAGGAAAUAGCUUUGGGAAUUAUCAAGCCUUUUAGGGUUUUCUAGCAAAGUGCUUUCUUGAUAGAAAACUUGACAUCUCUUACCCCAAAUGAGCACCAUAGACCUCCUUUAUAUAGUGUUUAGGAUAUCACCAUUUGAAAUUCAAAAUUCAUAAGUCAUAACCUCCAUGGUUGUUAUGGACUCAAUAAAGAGAUGUAACUCAUGCACACCAUAACUCCUAUAGAGAUGUAACUCAUGCACACCAUAACUCCUAUACCAUUAAGAAUUUCAAAUAAAGAUGUGUAACACCUUUUACACUCUUAAAGUUGGUGACACUACUACAAAAGGCCAAAUUCGCGACGGUCCCAAAAACGCUUUUUUUGGGGAUCCGUCGCUAAAAAAAUUAUCUGAGUGUUUAAAACCGUCGCCUAUAUUGUACUAUAGGCGACAGUUUUGAAAACUCGUAAACAAUAGGCGACGGUUAAUAAAUGUAGAGAAAAAAUUAAAAAAAAAAAUUGAUGCACUAUUCGCCACGGUUUAGAACCGUCGGGGAAAGUAUUCGCCACAGUUUUAAAACGUGGCUCAUUCUUUGCCCGACGGUUCAAAACCGUCGGGUAUAAGGUUAAAGUAAAAUUUUUCCCCCCAUUUUGCCUUAUUAUUCCCUCCAUUUAUUUCCAUCUCUCACCCACUCACUCACUCCAUCUCACUCUCUCGAUCUCACUCACUCUAUCUCCCUCUCUUGAUCUCACGCACUCUAUCUCCCUCUCUUGAUCUCACUCACUCUAUCUCCCUCUCUCGAUAAUCUCCCUCUCUCGAUCUCACUCAUCUAUCUCCCUCUCUCUCUCUCUCUAACGGUGACGGAAAUCACACCACCGGCGACGCAGCUCCGCCUCCACUGCCGAGAGCCCCUCCUUCAACCUCAGAUCCGGUCAUCGAUUCUGCUUCAGCUCUUGAUACUCUGGAUCUGGGUUAUCAAGCUCUGCAGCAUUUGUUUGCUCUUCCACUAUUGCUAUUGUGGCUGCUUUUGAUGUGAACUUUCCAAAGAUGGUUCUUCUAAGACUAGAACUGUUAAUUUGAAAGGUUGCAGUAUUGAAGCUGUUUCUGCUUCAAAUCUUUCUUCAAGAAAAUGAAGGAUUAAGAUGAGCAACACGAUCAACUAAGAUUCUUUCUGCUUCUACUGUAUAUGAAAGAGGUCCAACAAAAAAAAAGUGUAUCGAGUGGUUUGUAUUGAUUGAAGAGUACACAAGUAGCUAACUUUAUCGGAGAAAGAAGUUGCAAAAUGGAUAGAAAUUGGAUGAGUGCGAAUAGAUUAUCAGCAGAGUAUAAGGAAGGUGUUGACUUUUUUUUGGAUUUUUGUCAUAAGCACGCAAAAAAUCCAAAGUUGAUUCUUUGUCCUUGUCUUAAAUGUGGUAACAUGGAGCGUAUGAAUACUAGUAAAAUAAAGGAGCAUUUAUUUAGGAACGGAAUAGACAAGAGUUAUAAGGUUUGGUGUUACCACGGGGAAAAUAUUAGAGUUCAUGGCGAGGAAACAUCUAAGUCUAAGAAGGUUAAGAAUGUUAACUUGGAUUAUCAGGAUGAUCACAUUCCAGAAAUGAUAGGAGAUGCACAAUUUCAAUCAAAUGUCGAUCCAUUGGAAUUUCAAAAUUUUGUAGAGGAUGCUGAGAAACCUAUUUACCCUAAUUGUAAUAGGUUUACUAAAUUGUCUACGCUUGUUAGAUUAUACAAUAUAAAAGCGAAACAUGGGUGGAGUGAUAAAAGUUUUACGGAUUUACUAGCUUUUCUAGUA